rnacentral:rRNA from 1 species
GGGGAAUAUUGCACAAUGGGCGCAAGCCUGAUGCAGCCAUGCCGCGUGUGUGAAGAAGGCCUUCGGGUUGUAAAGCCCUUUCAGCGGGGAGGAAGGCGAUACGGUUAAUAACCGUGUUGAUUGACGUUACCCGCAGAAGAAGCACCGGCUAACUCCGUGCCAGCAGCCGCGGUAAUACGGAGGGUGCAAGCGUUAAUCGGAAUUACUGGGCGUAAAGCGCACGCAGGCGGUCUGUCAAGUCGGAUGUGAAAGCCCCGGGCUCAACCUGGGAACUGCAUUCGAAACUGGCUGGCUUGAGUCUUGUAGAGGGGGGUAGAAUUCCAGGUGUAGCGGUGAAAUGCGUAGAGAUCUGGAGGAAUACCGGUGGCGAAGGCGGCCCCCUGGACAAAGACUGACGCUCAGGUGCGAAAGCGUGGGGAGCAAAC